GUGCUUAUUUUUUAGCACCUACCCUAAAAUUGAACUGUUACAGAAAAGAUUUGCCCAGUCUAUGUACAAGGAAGCCCAGAUCUAAUUUCCAAUUUUCCCAAAUUUCA
ensembl:snRNA U6 U6 spliceosomal RNA